AUGGAAAGAAAUGAUGUGUCCUGGAAGUUGCCAAAAAAAUCUCUACUUCCAAGAGGAGAAUUGACCCUGAGAUCCUUUCCACAGUCAUUACAGAGUCACAAGUGGUCAUCCAAUUCAAUCCCAAAGAAAAACAUAGGCCUUGCAUGGAAAUUCUUAAGAAAUGUCAAAGAGCUAGUCCUCUUGGAAAGGGCUUGCGGUCUGAAUACAGGGCCAUCCAAGGAACUUGUGGGGCCCCUGGCAAAUGCCCUUUGCUUCACGACUCCUUUUUAGAAAG
rnacentral:lncRNA from 1 species